GACGAACGCUGGCGGCGUGCUUAACACAUGCAAGUCGAACGAAAAUACCAAGCUUGCUUGGUUGAUUAGUGGCGAACGGGUGAGUAACACGUGAGUAACCUGCCCCUUACUUUCCUGGAUAACUGCUCGAAAGGGUAGCUAAUACGGGAUAUUCUGACCAGCCUGCAUGGGUUGGUUUGGAAAGGUUGUUUUUCUGGUAAGGGAUGGGCUCGCGGCCUAUCAGCUUGUUGGUGGGGUGAUGGCCUACCAAGGCUUUGACGGGUAGCCGGCCUGAGAGGGUGGACGGUCACACUGGGACUGAGAUACGGCCCAGACUCCUACGGGAGGCAGCAGUGGGGAAUAGUGCACAAUGGGCGCAAGCCUGAUGCAGCGACGCCGCGUGAGGGAUGAAGGCCUUCGGGGUGUAAACCUCUUUCGUCAGGGAACAAGGCACUGCUUUUUUGGUGGUGUUGAGGGUACCUGGAUAAGAAGCGCCGGCUAACUACGUG
rnacentral:rRNA from 1 species